UCAGAUUUUUGUUGGACUGGCAAGCUUUAGAGCUUGCAAAACCAACAAAAUAUCAACUUGAAACCCAAAACUAAACAAAAAACUCCAUGGACAGAGUUUAUAAAGAAGAAUCCAAUUAUUCAACACCGCUGUAAAUCGAAUAGAUUCAAAGAUCUUGCUUGUUAAUUGUCAAGAUGUUGUUAAACCUGAUGCACUCCCCUUUGUUGAUACAAUCCACCUUGUUGAUGCUACUGGUCACAGUAUACUGCAUCAACAGUUCUGAUGCAUCACCGCAGAUGGAGCUGGAGUCAGGUCGAAGAUUGUACAGUGGGUACAAAGUGUUAA